AAUUCAGGCAGCUGCGCAUUCAUUUAUGAAUGUGAGGAAAGUCCGGACUCCUUCGUUGGCAACAGCGAAAUGGGCACUGUGGAGACACAGGUGGGCGUGAGCUUACGGAAUAAAGGGCAACAGAAAAGAUACCGCCUCUUGUUUGAGGUAAGGUUGAAAAGGUGAGGUAAGAGCUCACCGGUCGACUUGGCAACAAGUCGAUGCAUUGUAACCCCUGCUCGGAGCAACCUGGCAAAUUCAGGGCAUCCUUAGGGACCUUAGGUAAUUACAGAAGCUUAGUAAUUUCCGCAGGUAGAGAAAUAGCUGUCUAGUUCAAGCAAAGCUUGAAUCAAACAGAAUCCGGCUUAUGAAUUGGUUAAAUA
rnacentral:RNase_P_RNA from 2 species